rnacentral:rRNA from 1 species
GACGAACGCUGGCGGCGUGCCUAAUACAUGCAAGUGGGACGCAAGAGAACACACUGUGCUUGCACACCGUGUUUUCUUGAGUCGCGAACGGGUGAGUAACGCGUAGGUAACCUGCCUAUUAGCGGGGGAUAACUAUUGGAAACGAUAGCUAAUACCGCAUAAUAUUAAUUAUUGCAUGAUAAUUGAUUGCAAGAUGCAAGCGCAUCACUAGUAGAUGGACCUGCGUUGUAUUAGCUAGUUGGUAAGGUAAGAGCUUACCAAGGCGACGAUACAUAGCCGACCUGAGAGGGUGAUCGGCCACACUGGGACUGAGACACGGCCCAGACUCCUACGGGAGGCAGCAGUAGGGAAUCUUCGGCAAUGGACGAAAGUCUGACCGAGCAACGCCGCGUGAGUGAAGAAGGUUUUCGGAUCGUAAAGCUCUGUUGUAAGUCAAGAACGUGUGUGAGAGUGGAAAG